rnacentral:tRNA from 1 species
GGGUUGUGGCUCAGCGGUAGAGCACUUGCCUAGCACAUGUGAGACCCUGAAUUCGAUCCUCAGCCCCA